rnacentral:rRNA from 1 species
AGCUCCAAUAGCGUAUAUUAAAGUUGUUGCGGUUAAAAAGCUCGUAGUUGAAUCUCAGUUCUGGACGUGCACGGGUUCGCCAACACACUGGUGAACUGCUGACACAUCUGGAGCAAAACCGCCCGGCUUGUCCCACGGUGCUCUUAACCGAGUGUUGUGGGUGGCCGACAUUUUUACUUUGAGAAAACCAGAGUGCUUAAAGCAGGCGUAUGACGCCCGAAUGACUGUGCAUGGAAUAAUGGAAAAGGAUCUCGCUUCUGUCUUUGUUGGUUCUUCGGAAGGCGAGAUAAUGAUUAAUAGGGACAGACGGGGGCAUUCGUAUUGCGACGUUAGAGGUGAAAUUCUUGGAUCGUCGCACGACGAACUACUGCGAACGCAUUUGCCAAGAAUGUAUUCG